UGGGCAACCUGCCCUGUACUGGGGAAUAAUCAUUGGAAACGAUGACUAAUACCGCAUGUGAUCCUCGGAAGGCAUCUUCUGAGGAAGAAAGGAUUUAUUCGGUACAGGAUGGGCCCGCAUCUGAUUAGCUAGUUGGUGAGAUAACAGCCCACCAAGGCGACGAUCAGUAGCCGACCUGAGAGGGUGAUCGGCCACAUUGGGACUGAGACACGGCCCAA
rnacentral:rRNA from 1 species